UAAUGCGAGCGCAUGUGCGCACAUUGCCAUGCAUGUGUGCGAGGGCUGGCCAGGCGUGUCUGUAUGAUGAGCAAUCUCUAUACACGAGGGAAGGCCUAGCACGCACAGUGAGCCAUGCUGUAUUGCUUGGACAAGUGCUCGCGUGCCCAUAUACGGGCGAUGCAUGCAAGGGGCAUGUCCCUACUCACUCAUGUGUGUGCAGGACAGCCUGCCGAAGCGUGUCACACUGUGUGGGGGCUGGGCCCCUGGCCUCGUCUUUGGGAAAUGGCUAAGAGGUUUACCUAAUAGGGUUUUAGCCCGACAAGAUAAGCUAAUGACCCAAUCCUAGUAUGUGUACCUUAGUUGUGCUAGGUUCGAUCGAGUGGGCCUUUGAUGGUUCGGGUUGAGGUACAAAUCGUCAUCGAGUUUGGGUUAGUUUUGUGACCCCUGGUCGAGUUCGAUUAGAUUCAAUAAAUCCCCAUUAAGUCUGGGUCAGGUUGAUGGGUAUAAAUAGGUCGGGCUUGGUUAGUGGACCCCACUAGGUCUUAUUUAGGCAUGUUGGGACCUUAAUAGGCCGAGUUAAUUAAUGGAUCCCCUUUCAGUGCGGGUUAUGGUUAAUGGGCCCUUGUCCAGUCUAGAUUGUUUAGCGAGCCCUAGUUUGGUUCUAGUUCAAU
rnacentral:lncRNA from 1 species